rnacentral:rRNA from 1 species
AAAAUUUCGUGGAGGUCCGAACCCACGAGCGUUGAAAAGCUCGGGGAUGACUUGUGGGUAGCGGUGAAAUUCCAAUCGAGCCCGGAGAUAGCUGGUUCUCCCCGAAAUAGCUUUAGGGCUAGCCUCAAGGUGAGAGAUACGGAGGUAGAGCACUGAAUGUCCUAGGGGGUAUUGCCCCUACCGAAGACUAUCAAACUCCGAAUGCCGUCAUCUUAUACUUGGGAGUCAGACUGUGGGUGAUAAGAUUCAUAGUCGAAAGGGCAACAGCCCAGAUCG